AAAAAGGUUUUCUUCAAAGCCACAGACUUUUCCCCAAAAACAAUGU
rfam:Ovis aries breed Texel chromosome 2, whole genome shotgun sequence.